rnacentral:rRNA from 1 species
CCUACGGGGUGCAGCAGUGGGGAAUAUUGCACAAUGGGGGAAACCCUGAUGCAGCGACGCCGCGUGAGCGACGAAGUAUUUCGGUAUGUAAAGCUCUAUCAGCAGGGAAGAAAAUGACGGUACCUGACUAAGAAGCCCCGGCUAACUACUUGCCAGCAGCCGCGGUAAUACGUAGGGGGCAAGCGUUAUCCGGAUUUACUGGGUGUAAAGGGAGCGUAGACGGCGGGGCAAACCAGAUGUGAAAGCCCGGGGCUCAACCCCGGGACUGCAUUGGGAACUGUGUGGCUGGAGUGUCGGAGAGGCAGGCGGAAUUCCUGGUGUAGCGGUGAAAUGCGUAGAUAUUAGGAGGAACACCAGUGGCGAAGGCGGCCUGCUGGACGAUGACUGACGUUGAGGCUCGAAAGCGUGGGGAGCAAACAGGAUUAGAUACCCUUGUAGUC